AUUGAACGCUGGCGGCAGGCUUAACACAUGCAAGUCGAACGAGACCUUCGGGUCUAGUGGCAGACGGGUGAGGAACACGUGGGAACAUCCCUUUCAGUUCGGAAUAACGUUGGGAAACUAACGCUAAUACCGGAUACGUCCUUCGGGAGAAAGAUUUAUCGCUGAAAGAUUGGCCCGCGUCUGAUUAGCUAGUUGGUGAGGUUAUGGCUCACCAAGGCGACGAUCAGUAGCUGGUCUGAGAGGAUGAUCAGCCACACUGGGACCGAGACACGGCCCAGACUCCUACGGGAGGCAGCAGUGGGGAAUAUUGGACAAUGGGGGCAACCCUGAUCCAGCCAUGCCGCGUGAGUGAUGACGGCCUUAGGGUUGUAAAGCUCUUUUCUCCGGGACGAUAAUGACGGUACCGGAGGAAUAAGCCCCGGCUAACUUCGUGCCAGCAGCCGCAGUAAAAC
rnacentral:rRNA from 1 species